GUGUCAGCAGCCGCGGUAAUACGUAGGCAGCAAGCGUUGUUCGGAAUUACUGGGCGUAAAGGGUGCGUAGGCGGCUUUUUAAGUUUGGUGUGAAAUCUCCCGGCUCAACUGGGAGGGUGCGCCGAAUACUGAGAAGCUAGAGUGUGGGAGAGGAAAGUGGAAUUCCUGGUGUAGCGGUGAAAUGCGUAGAUAUCAGGAGGAACACCGGUGGUGUAAACGGCUUUCUGGACCAUAACUGACGCUGAGGCACGAAAGCGUGGGUAGCAAACAGGAUUAGAAACCCGAGUAGUCC
rnacentral:rRNA from 1 species